GACGAACGCUGGCGGCGUGCUUAACACAUGCAAGUCGAACGCAGUGGCGAACGGGUGAGUAACGCGUAAUCAACUUGCCCUUCAGAGGGGGACAACAGUUGGAAACGACUGCUAAUACCGCAUACUGAUGGAGGGGAUUGCGUCGGAUUAGCUAGGUGGAGGGGUAACGGCCCACCAAGGCGAUGGUCAGUAGGCGGUCUGGAAGGGUGAACGGCCACAAUGGGACUGGGACACGGGCCAGACUCCUACGGGAAGCAGCAGUGAGGAAUCUUUCGCAAUGGACGAAAGUCUGACGGAGCAACGCCGCGGGAGGGAAGACGGGCUUCGGGUUGUAAAGCUCUGUUAAUCGGGACGCGGUACCGGAAUAGAAAGCCACGGCUAACUACGUGCCAGCAGCCGCGGUAAUAC
rnacentral:rRNA from 1 species